GGGCGCAUGUUCCAAGGUUGGCGACCGAUCCUUGCAAGAUUGGUGGGUGCGUUCGAUUCGCACCGUUUCCAC
rnacentral:tRNA from 2 species